GACAGAGGUGCCGAGCGUUAGACGGAAUCACUGGGCUUAAAGCGUGUGUAGGCGGACCGUUAAGUACCUUGUGAAAUCCUGCGGCUCAACCGCAGAACGGCUGGGUAUACUGGCGGUCUUGGGCCACCUAGGGGCAGAUGGAACAAGUGGUGGAGCGGUGAAAUGCGUAGAUAUCACUUGGAACGCCAAAGGUGAAAACAGUCUGCUGGGGGUGUGCCGACGCUGAGACACGAAAGCCAGGGGAGCGAACGGG
rnacentral:rRNA from 1 species